UACAGAGGUCUCAAGCGUUGUUCGGAUUCAUUGGGCGUAAAGGGUGCGUAGGCGGCGCGGUAAGUCGGGUGUGAAAUCUCGGGGCUUAACUCCGAAACUGCAUUCGAUACUGCCGUGCUUGAGGACUGGAGAGGAGACUGGAAUUUACGGUGUAGCGGUGAAAUGCGUAGAUAUCGUAAGGAAGACCAGUGGCGAAGGCGGGUCUCUGGGCAAUUCCUGACGCUGAGGCGCGAAAGCGUGGGGAGCAAACGGG
rnacentral:rRNA from 1 species